rnacentral:lncRNA from 1 species
GUCUAUACAUGCCAUAAUUUCCGGAAUACUAGUAGCAAAAUACCCAAACGUGGAUGAUAGUGUAGAUGAUUGUCUGACUCCGUCCCAAUUCCGAGUUGAUGGAAAUCACUAUAAUCAAGGGAAAAAUAAAAACGAGUAAGCAUAUAGCUUAGUAAGUAAACAUAUGACAAAUAAAUAAAUUUCUCACAUGACUACACCAUAGUAUAAAUUUAUUCACAAUUAAAUUUCAUUGUUUGUGUAAUUUCCAGCAAGCUGGUUUUCUGCAUCAUAACCACUAAUUUAUUUUUAUCCGGAGCUACAGGGAUCCAAAUUGAAUUCCGUAACUUUUCCCUGAAACUAGACUCAUAUAUCUUUCUAUAAUAAAAUUUUCAGAAUUUUUGAUCUAGCCAAUUAGUACAGUUUAUUCUUUAAAUCUUCCCCUAUUUCACUGCCCGACAGUCCUGACCUCCCCUUACAAAAAUUCACAUAACUCUCUGUACAAGUUUCAAACAAUGUUCUUGUUUGUUUCUAUUAAAAAUAGACUAAAAAAGGAAUCCAGGCAUAUAUAUUUCAAGCCAUAAUUAUUUUUGUAUAAUUUUUUGUGAUUUUCCAAAGUUGGAACAGGGGAUUUCGAAAUCAAUCCAGCCCUGUCUCAGUAAAAUUCAAAUAUCUCCAAAAAUACAACUCUUUUGCUUGCUCUAUUUCUUUCAUAUGAAAAUAGACUCAUUCAGCUUCAAUUUCAUAUAUUAUUUAACCUAUAAUUAAUUUUCCACCAUUUAUGGUGAUUUUUCAUAGUUGCCCAACUGCUGCCAUUCAAAACAGUUUUGCAUUCAAAUUGUCUCUUUUUGUAUUUUUUUAUUUUCCUCCCAUCUUAUACAUGGGUUGAUUAAGUAUCAAACUCAAUAUUCCUCCCAUAAACUUGUCCACCACAUAUAUGAUUAUUCACCUUCCCAAUUUACUCUUUGAACACUCGGAAUGUUAACUGUUAUCGGUGGAUUCCGCACUUAGCAACCACCAAUGAAUCGGUAAAUCAGCACACAGCAACCCCUUGGGGGAAUCAGUACUUAGCAACCCCCUUCACAUUUCAAAGAUAUGGUGGAAUCAGCACUUAGCAACCACCAAUGAAUAGGGGAAUUAGCAUUUAGCAACCCCCUUUCACAUUAAAAAUACGGUGGGAUCAGCACUUAGCAACCACCAAUAGGUAGGGGAAUUAGCACUUAGCAACCCCUCGGGGGAAUCAGCACUUAGCAACCCCCUUUCACAUUUAAAAUACGGUGGGAUCAGCACUUAGCAACCACCAUUGAAUCGGGGAAUCAGCACACAGCAACCCCUUUAUAUGCAAUAUGCUCCGGCCUAUUCCGAGUGUUCAACCAAAAACCGUGUUUUGCAACCCCUUACCACCUUUCCCAAUUUAACAACAUUUUUGGAAUCUUGCCAAACAUUUAUUUUAUAUUCAAAUAAAUCUCAACACAUAUCAAAUAAUAUCAAAAUAAUACAUUAAGUCACAUGUUUACUUACCUCGGUGCAAAAUAUCGUAAUUUUGCAAUUUACUCCACUACUUUCUCUUUUCCCUGUUUGAUGUAUUCUUCUCGUCUUUCUUGAUCUAUAAUAACAAAAUUAACUCAUUUAAUGUUCACAUUUAUUAAAAUAAUCCUCCACCCAACUUUUUGAAAAAUUACAAUUUUGCCCCCAAACUUUUGCAUAUUUACAUUUUCGUCAAUAAGCUCGGAAAUUAAACUUCAUCUCUUAUUCUUAUGUUUUAUGACAUGCUGAACAUUUUCCCUUGUAUGACAACAUCAAAUUCUCACUCUAACACACACUUUUGAACAUUAGGUAUUUUUACCGAUUAUGUCUAUUUACCCGUUUUCGUUUAAAAUCGCUUAGCAAAAGUUGUUUAACAUAAUUUCUAGCUUCAUAUUCCACCAUAAAACAGAAAAGUAAACACAUUUCACCUAUGGGUAUUUUUCCAAAUAUGAACCCUAACACGAAUUAUUGAUAGAAUAAGCUAAAUUAAGUUACCGGGACUCCAAAAACGUAAAGAACAUUAAAAACGGGGUUUGGAAUCACUUACUAUUGAGCUUGGAAGCUUAAAAACCCUAACU